UAGGGAAUCUUCCACAAUGGGNGGAAGCCUGAUGGAGCAACGCCGCGUGUGUGAUGAAGGGUUUCGGCUCGUAAAACACUGUUGUAAGAGAAGAAUGACAUUGAGAGUAACUGUUCAAUGUGUGACGGUAUCUUACCAGAAAGGAACGGCUAAAUACGUGCCCG
rnacentral:rRNA from 1 species